rnacentral:RNase_P_RNA from 1 species
UGAGUAAAGCAUGCGGUCGCGGCCGGAAGGAUCGAAAGAGACCGGCUGAGGAAAGUCCGGGCUUCGCAGGGCAGGAUGCCGGAUAACGUCCGGCGGAGGCGACUCCAGGGAUAGUGCAACAGAAAUAGACCGCCUGCUUUUGCAGGUAAGGGUGGAAAGGCAGUGCAAGAGACUACCGCUGAUGUGGUAACACAUCAGGCUCUGUAAACCCCAUCUGAAGCAAGACCGAACGUAAAACUAUGUGGCGGCCCGUCACGUUUUCAGGUAGGUCGCUUAAGACUGCCGGUAACGGCAGUAUACAGACAGAUGACCGCACACGACAUAACCCGGCUUAUCGCUUUGCUCAGAUU